GCUGGGGUGGUGAAAUUGGUAGACACGAUAGCCUUAGGAGCUAUUGGAAGCAAUUCCAUGGAGGUUCGAGUCCUCUCCCCAGCACCA
rnacentral:tRNA from 1 species